rnacentral:rRNA from 1 species
GACGAACGCUGGCGGCGUGCUUAACACAUGCAAGUCGAACGAAGUGGCGAACGGGUGAGUAACGCGUAAUCAACCUGCCCUUCAGAGGGGGACAACAGUUGGAAACGACUGCUAAUAACGUCUACUGAAGGAGGGGAUUGCGUCUGAUUAGCUAGUUGGAGGGUUAACGGCCCACAAAGGCGAUGAGCAGUAGCGGGUCUGAGAGGAUGAACGGCCACAUUGGGACUGAGACACGGCCCAGACUCCUACGGGAGGCAGCAGUGGGGAAUAUUGCGCAAUGGGGGCAACUCUGACGCAGCCAUGCCGCGUGUAUGAAGAAGGCCUUCGGGUUGUAAAGUACUUUCAGCGGGGGCGUUACCCGCAGAAGAAGCACCGGCUAACUCCGUGCCAGCAGCCGCGGUAAUUC